CUUAGUGGCGGACGGGUGAGUAACGCGUGGGCAACCUGCCUUACACAGGGGGAUAACACUUAGAAAUAGGUGCUAAUACCGCAUAAGCGCACAGUCCCGCAUGGGACAGAGUGAAAAACAUUAGUGGUGUAAGAUGGACCCGCGUCUGAUUAGCUUGUUGGCGGGGUAACGGCCCACCAAGGCGACGAUCAGUAGCCGGCCUGAGAGGGUGGACGGCCACAUUGGGACUGAGACACGGCCCAAACUCCUACGGGAGGCAGCAGUGGGGGAUAUUGGACAAUGGGGGAAACCCUGAUCCAGCGACGCCGCGUGAGUGAAGAAGUAUUUCGGUAUGUAAAGCUCUAUCAGCAGGGAAGAAAGAAAUGACGGUACCUGAGUAAGAAGCCCCGGCUAACUACGUGCCAGCAGCCGCGGUAAUACGUAGGGGGCAAGCGUUAUCCGGAAUUACUGGGUGUAAAGGGAGCGUAGACGGUAAUGCAAGUCUGGAGUGAAAGGCGGGGGCCCAACCCCCGGACUGCUCUGGAAACUGUGUAACUGGAGUGCAGGAGAGGCAGGCGGAAUUCCUAGUGUAGCGGUGAAAUGCGUAGAUAUUAGGAGGAACACCAGUGGCGAAGGCGGCCUGCUGGACUGUAACUGACGUUGAGGCUCGAAAGCGUGGGGAGCA
rnacentral:rRNA from 1 species